AGAGAAGCUUGCUUCUCUUGAGAGCGGCGGACGGGUGAGUAAUGCCUAGGAAUCUGCCUGGUAGUGGGGGAUAACGUUCGGAAACGGACGCUAAUACCGCAUACGUCCUACGGGAGAAAGCAGGGGACCUUCGGGCCUUGCGCUAUCAGAUGAGCCUAGGUCGGAUUAGCUAGUUGGUGAGGUAAUGGCUCACCAAGGCGACGAUCCGUAACUGGUCUGAGAGGAUGAUCAGUCACACUGGAACUGAGACACGGUCCAGACUCCUACGGGAGGCAGCAGUGGGGAAUAUUGGACAAUGGGCGAAAGCCUGAUCCAGCCAUGCCGCGUGUGUGAAGAAGGUCUUCGGAUUGUAAAGCACUUUAAGUUGGGAGGAAGGGUUGUAGAUUAAUACUCUGCAAUUUUGACGUUACCGACAGAAUAAGCACCGGCUAACUCUGUGCCAGCAGCCGCGGUAAUACAGAGGGUGCAAGCGUUAAUCGGAAUUACUGGGCGUAAAGCGCGCGUAGGUGGUUUGUUAAGUUGGAUGUGAAAUCCCCGGGCUCAACCUGGGAACUGCAUUCAAAACUGACUGACUAGAGUAUGGUAGAGGGUGGUGGAAUUUCCUGUGUAGCGGUGAAAUGCGUAGAUAUAGAAGGAACACCAGUGGCGAAGGCGACCACC
rnacentral:rRNA from 1 species